rnacentral:rRNA from 1 species
UACGGAGGGGGCUAGCGUUGUUCGGAAUUACUGGGCGUAAAGCGCGCGUAGGCGGAUCUGCAAGUCGGGGGUGAAAUCCCGAGGCUCAACCUCGGAACUGCCUUCGAUACUGCGGGUCUCGAGUCCGGGAGAGGUGAGUGGAAUUCCUAGUGUAGAGGUGAAAUGCGCAGAUAUCAGGAGGAACACCGGUGGCGAAGGCGGGUCUCUGGGCCGAAAUUGACGCUGAGGAGCGAAAGCGUGGGGAGCAAACAGG